rnacentral:misc_RNA from 1 species
ACCAAAUCAGAUUCAAGGUGAAAGGAACAUAAGCAAGAUAACAUGCUGUAAUUUCCGACAAUAACAUAUUAACAGCAAUUCUCAACUCAAUCACAUCUAGCUUUAACACCGAAAUCAUAUUAAAUCGCGAUAUAUUAUAUUUAAACAGAUACAAAAGAUGAAUUUCAAGCACAAUAAACUAACAAAAAUAUCGAUAUAGAACAACAGCCCACAUGCAUCGAUUUAAGUAAUAGAAGUUCGCAUAAAAAACAUGUACCUGGGACAUAUCUGAAAAGAUUCACCUUAUCUGUUGAUUUACCUCCCGUUUCUUGUAGGAGCCUCCUUGUUUAUCGCAUGUUCUCGCUGCUGCUCCUAGUCCUGCAAAAAGAAGAAGAGCGAGAGGCGGAGGGAGAAGAGAGAAGGGAUGAGGGGGGAGAGAAAGAGACGGCUGGAGAGAGGGGGACGAUGGGGCUGCUGGCUAGCGUUGCUGCUGCUGCGUCUGGUCGCCUCUCCUGGCUGCUGCUGCGUGGAGUUGCUACUGCCUGGCAGCUCGCCUGAAUGCUGCCAAAGAUUAAAAAAAUGCGGAGAAGAGAUGAAGAGAUGGACGGAGAAGAGAAGAGAGGAGAGGAUGACGCCGGGAUGCUGGUCGAUGCCUUUGCUGAUCCUCCACCGGAGCUGCUGCCGUCCACCGGUCUUCUUUUAUUGUUGUUUUGUUGUUGCCAAUGACGGGGAAGAGAAGGUGGGGAGAGAUGGAGCAGUGGAGGAAGCGGAUGGGAGAGAAGAGGAGGGAAGAAGGAGAAGGGAAAGAGGGAGAAAGAGGCGGUCGCCGGAAAAGAAUGGGGAGAAA